rnacentral:rRNA from 1 species
AGCCAGCUACGUGAAUUAAUGUAAACUGUAUUGCUUUGAUCAUCGACAUCUUGAACGCA